rnacentral:rRNA from 1 species
GACGAACGCUGGCGGCGUGCUUAACACAUGCAAGUCGAGCGGAAAGGCCCUUCGGGGUACUCGAGCGGCGAACGGGUGAGUAACACGUGAGUAACCUGCCCCAGACUUUGGGAUAACCCUCGGAAACGGGGGCUAAUACCGGAUACGACACAGCUUCGCAUGGGGUCUGUGUGGAAAGUUUUUCGGUUUGGGAUGGGCUCGCGGCCUAUCAGCUUGUUGGUGGGGUGAUGGCCUACCAAGGCGACGACGGGUAGCCGGCCUGAGAGGGCGACCGGCCACACUGGGACUGAGACACGGCCCAGACUCUUACGGGAGGCAGCAGUGGGGAAUAUUGCACAAUGGGCGGAAGCCUGAUGCAGCGACGCCGCGUGAGGGAUGACGGCCUUCGGGUUGUAAACCUCUUUCAGCAGGGACGAAGCGUAAGUGACGGUACCUGCAGAAGAAGCGCCGGCCAACUACGUG